rnacentral:piRNA from 1 species
UUUUUUUCUUUUACAGUUGUU